AUAACACAUUAGUCUCUUCUUUUUCUAACUAAUCUUCAGGAUUUACUUUAAGUUUGCCAAUGUGUUUUACAUGGUAAUAACUGCUUCUCUGUCCUGAACGAAUAGAUUAGUUAUAGGAAGAUUUGCAUGAUGGAGAAUCAAUAGGGCAAGUUUAAAUAUCCAGAUGAUAUGGGGAGAGGAAACAGGACAAAUUAAUCUGGAAAUUGUUGACAAAUUGUGAGCAAAGAAAUGAAAAAACUAUAUACUUUGGGGAAGAAAAAGAAGGUCUGUGAUGGCAAAAGUGAAAAUACCAGGAAAAUUCAGGGAAAGAAGUGAGCACACACAGCAUGCUGGGAAAAUCUGGAGCUCACGUAUUAUCUGUUUCCAAAUGACAUAUUCCGGAUUAUGAUGAUUCCUGGUAAGCAAACUUUUACUUUGUAUAUUUUUAACUCUAAUCAAGAAAGUCCAGGCUAGGCCAGCUCUAUGUUAAUUUCUCUAUUAAAAUCCAGAUGGGAGUGUGUUUUCCCCUGUGAUGGCUGGUCUGCCUUUGUUGGAGCUAUGGAAAAU
rnacentral:lncRNA from 1 species